CCCCUCUGCUAUGAGUCAGGCUCCUCUAGCCUCCUCCGACGCAGACACCAGUCCCAGGUGCCCUUGGCUUUGUCAGGUUCACUGUGCUAACCCUCUCGGAAUUGUCAUCCCCCCAGAUUGUCACCACCUCUUGUCUGUAAGCUCUGGGGACGUCGAGGGGAGGGGGUGUCAUUUUCACUGGGCAUUUAAGCCAGGCCUGAAGUUGAAACUCAGCUUAACAACUUCCUACUUCUUGGGGUUUGAGUGGGAUGGUAAACCUCAGUUUUCCUAUCUUUAGAAAUGGGCACGAUAAUCCUUCCCUCACUGCAGGGUUGAGGAGGAGUGUUGUAAGUUUUAGAGGCAAUUCUUGAAAACUGCCUAGAACACAGUAUGUACAGGUGUCUGAGUUAGAGUCCCAGCAGGUUAGGCGGGGUGGGUACCCGGAGCUAAUGAAUGGACUGCUGACAUGGUUAAGCAGAAUCUUCAAGAGAUGGAGAGGCCUCGGGCUAGUAACAGCUGAAGGUUCUGUCUCCCCUGGGCCUGAAGAGGGAGGCUGGAGGGCAGCUAUGGCUCCGAUUCAACCUCUAGCCUGGGAACCUCCACAUGCCGUGGGAAGGGGCCCUAGAAAAGACAAAAAGACAAAAAAAAAAACAAACAAACAAAAAAAAACCAACACCCAAAGACAUGGAAGGGAUAUUAGAGACCAUCUACCCGGUGCUCUUGUGUUUUUUGGAGGCAGAAAUAGAACCUCAAAGAGGCGGUUGGUACCAGGUCGGAACUGGUCCCCCCAAGGCUCCUAUCUCUAACUUGGGUCAUUCUCCUGUUAGUUUUCUAGGGCUGCUGCAACCAACCACCACAAACUUGAUGUCCUAAAGCAACAUACAUUUAUUAUCUGACAAGUCUGGAGGUCCGAAGCCUGACAUGAUCUCUCUGGGAUAAAAUCAAGGUAUCAGCAGGGCUUUUCCUUCUGGAGGCUUUCAGGGAGAAUCCAUUUCCUUGCCUUUUCCAGAUGCCCGGGUCCCUUGUAUCCCGUGGCCCGUGUGCCCCUUUUUCCAUCUUCAAGGCCAGCAGUGGCCGGUUAAGUCUGUCUCAAGGUGGAUCUCUCGGACUCUGACCCUCCUGCCUCCCUCUUUGACUCCUAAGGACUUCUGAUCCAUCUCAACAUCCUUAACUUUAUCACGUCUGCAGAGACCCUUUGCUUUUAAGGUGACAGAUGCACAGGUACUGGGGAGGAGGGCGGGGCAUCUUUGGGGGCACUAUUGUGUCUGCCACACCUCCCAGCACACCAGCGGCCUGUUGGGACACCUCAGGCAAACUCAUGUUCUCCCCCACCCCUCCCAAAACAGGAAGGGCCUGUUCCUUCAGAAAACAGAAAACAGGACCCUCCCAAAAUCAUCAGCAGUUGAAAACCCCACCCCCAACAUGCCCCAGCACUUUCUGCAUCUCUCAGUUGUCAUACUUGUCACGUCGCCUUAUGGCUGCCUGGCCAGGCCGUGGCUGCCUCCCGGGCAGGGCCUGGCCAUCUCUGUGCCCAGCUAUGAGCACAUUCCUGGCAUUCAGGUGGCCUUGGCUGAGAUGGAAGCGGGCCAUCUCCAUUUCACGGCACUCUCCCGACCCCUGCUUCCAUUCCGUGAGCAGAAGGGGCCUCCUCCCAGGUUCCAGUGUUCAAGUUCUGCCACGGGAUCCUCCCUUGCUAAGAUCAAGAAGGACCCAGGCCGGGAGUUCCCACUGUGGUGCAGUGGAGACGAAGCCGACUAGCAUCCAUGAGGAUGCAGGUUCGAUCCCUGGCCUCGCUCAGUGGAUUAGGGCUCUGGUGUCGCUGUGAGCUGUGGUGAUCGCGCGUUGCUGUAGCUGUGGUGUAGGCCAGCAGCCGUAGCUCCGAUUUGAUUCCUAGCCUGGGAACUU
rnacentral:lncRNA from 1 species